UACGUAGGGUGCGAGCGUUAAUCGGAAUUACUGGGCGUAAAGCGUGCGCAGGCGGUUUGUUAAGACCGAUGUGAAAUCCCCGGGCUUAACCUGGGAACUGCAUUGGUGACUGGCAGGCUAGAGUAUGGCAGAGGGGGGUAGAAUUCCACGUGUAGCAGUGAAAUGCGUAGAGAUGUGGAGGAAUACCGAUGGCGAAGGCAGCCCCCUGGGCCAAUACUGACGCUCAUGCACGAAAGCGUGGGGAGCAAACAGG
rnacentral:rRNA from 1 species